GAGUUUCCUUAUAAAUUGAACUUUGUCCAAUUGAUUUCUAAAACCUUCAAAUGUUUUAGUUAAACGAUCACCUUUGUUGGAUCCUUGUACUUUCCCUGUUUGUCUGAGUAAUUCUUGCCAUGUAAGACUUCCAUUCUCAGAAAACAUGCGUUCAGCGAAUUGUUGCUCUAAUUCUUCUAGGUGAUUCAAUGUAUACUGUCUUUUAGUAUGCUCAUUUGGGAAUAAUGAAGGGUAUUCAGUAAAGUGUUGAUCAAGUUUUGAAAUGUAACUUUCAACAUCCUUAUUUGGAUCGAAUUUCCCUAUCUCUGGUACAUGCUUCGAUAAUAUUUUUGCAAAAAGGUUUAUUAAAUGUUCGUCUGAUGUUUGAAUUCCAUCCAAAUUCUCUGGUCUCCAUCGUUUUGCUCUUGCUUUCAUAUAACGAUAAUUUGCGUAGGACAUUGUAUAUGUUUCCCUUUGGGAGAUUUCAA
rnacentral:lncRNA from 1 species